UGGGAUCGGAUUCUUCAGACAGGUCUGGAAGGUAACGCCUGGUGUAGAUUAUUUAUCACAUUUUCUCUCUCUAAAUUUCGACCCUAGAUUAGUUAGUGGUUUAAAUAAAAAAAAUAAAGAAAUAAAUAAAUACAAAAAUAAAUAAGAUAUAUUGUUUAAUUAGGAUGAGUGUGAACAGGACUUGGUGGCUAAAACCAUUAAGGCUUGAUUCAUAAAGACUCAAAUAAAAGAGUUCGAAACGGGAUUUGGAGGCGGCAAUCUUCAAGGCUCGCUUUCGCAAAGAACUCUUGGAUAUAGAUCAAAAAGAAGUGAACAGAACUUGGUGGCAGCCACCAUUAAGUUUUGAUUCAUGGAAGCCUGUCCAAUCUUGAUCACUGAUCAUGCAAUGGAAGCUGACUUUGACUCAAGAGAGAAACUAGGAACUAACUUUUACCUGCAGCUCCAGAUACCUGUCUGAAAUCCUUGCAUCCUGUGAUCGAUACUCC
rnacentral:lncRNA from 1 species